rnacentral:rRNA from 1 species
UACGUAGGGGGCAAGCGUUGUCCGGAAUCAUUGGGCGUAAAGCGCGUGUAGGCGGCUCGAUAAGUCUGCUGUGAAAGUCCAGGGCUCAACCCUGGGAUGCCGGUGGAUACUGUCGAGCUCGAGUCCGGAAGAGGCGAGUGGAAUUCCUGGUGUAGCGGUGAAAUGCGCAGAUAUCUGGAGGAACACCGGUGGCGAAGGCGGCGUCCUGGACCAAUACUGACACUGAGGAGCGAAAGCCAGGGAGCAAAGCGGG